UACGUAGGGUGCGAGCGUUAAUCGGAAUUACUGGGCGUAAAGCGUGCGCAGGCGGCGCGUUAAGACAGGUGUGAAAGCCCCGAGCUUAACUUGGGAAUUGCGCUUGUGACUGGCGUGCUGGAGUGUGGCAGAGGGAGGUGGAAUUCCACGUGUAGCAGUGAAAUGCGUAGAGAUGUGGAGGAACACCGAUGGCGAAGGCAGCCUCCUGGGCCAGCACUGACGCUCAUGCACGAAAGCGUGGGUAGCGAACAGG
rnacentral:rRNA from 1 species